rnacentral:rRNA from 1 species
CGUUACACACCGCCCGUCACACCAUGGAGUCGUUUGCUCCAGAAGUGGCUGCGCCAACCGCAAGGGAGGCAGGUCCCAAGGAGUGACCGGUAACUGGGGUG